rnacentral:rRNA from 1 species
CCUACGGGAGGCUGCAGUCGUGAAUAUUGCGCAAUGGAGGAAACUCUGACGCAGUGACGCCGCGUGCAGGAAGAAGGUUUUCUGAUUGUAAACUGCUUUAGACAGGGAAGAAAAAAGACAGUACCUGUAGAAUAAGCUCCGGCUAACUACGUACCAGCAGCCGCGGUAAUACGUAGGGAGCAAGCGUUAUCCGGGUUUAUUGGGUGUAAAGGGUGCGUAGACGGAGAAGCAAGUGAGUUGUGAAAUCCCUCGGCUUAACUGAGGAACUGCAACUAAAACUACUUCCCUUGAGUACUGGAGAGGAAAGUGGAAUUCCUAGUGUAGCGGUGAAAUGCGUAGAUAUUAGGAGGAACACCGGUGGCGAAGGCGGCCUGCUGGACUGUGACUGACGUUGAGGCCCGAAGGCGUGGGGAGCAAACAGGAUUAGAUACCCCAGUAGUC